rnacentral:rRNA from 1 species
AUACGUAGGGGGCGAGCGUUGUCCGGAAUGAUUGGGCGUAAAGGGCGCGUAGGCGGCCUGUUAAGUCUGGAGUGAAAGUCCUGUUUUCAAGAUGGGAAUUGCUUUGGAUACUGAUGGGCUUGAGUGCAGGAGAGGUUAUCGGAAUUCCCGGUGUAGCGGUGAAAUGCGUAGAGAUCGGGAGGAACACCAGUGGCGAAGGCGGAUAACUGGACUGCAACUGACGCUGAGGCGCGAGAGUGUGGGGAGCAAACAGGAUUAGAUACCCUGGUAGUCCACACUGUAAACGAUGAAUGCUAGGUGUAAGAGGUAUCGACCCCUUUUGUGCCGGAGUCAACACAAUAAGCAUUCCGCCUGGGGAGUACGGCCGCAAGGUUGAAACUCAAAUGAAUUGACGGGG